rnacentral:rRNA from 1 species
AGAACGAACGCUGGCGGCAGGCUUAACACAUGCAAGUCGAACGCUCGUAGCAAUACGGGAGUGGCAGACGGGUGAGUAACGCGUGGGAACAUACCCUCCGGUUCGGAAUAGCUCAGGGAAACUUGGAUUAAUACCGGAUACGGCUGAGAGGCGAAAGAUUUAUCGCCGGAGGAUUGGCCCGCGUUCGAUUAGCUUGUUGGUGAGGUAACGGCUCACCAAGGCGAUGAUCGAUAGCUGGUCUGAGAGGAUGAUCAGCCACAUUGGGACUGAGACACGGCACAAACUCCUACGGGAGGCAGCAGUGGGGAAUAUUGGACAAUGGGCGCAAGCCUGAUCCAGCCAUGCCGCGUGAGUGAUGACGGCCUUAGGGUUGUAAAGCUCUUUCGCUCGGGACGAUAAUGACGGUACCGAGAUAAGAAGCCCCGGCUAACUUCGUGCCAGCAGCCGC